UCCUACGGGAGGCAGCAGUCCUAGGGGAGGGCGCAGUGGGGAAUCCUAAACAAUCAACCAAGCGUGAUCUAGCCAUUCCGGGGGAAUGAAAAAGUCUUUAGGAAGUAAUGAUGGCAGUGAAAAAGAUAAUGACGUACACAGAGAGCCGUCC
rnacentral:rRNA from 1 species